AGUAGUUCUGCUGGUUUAUAAUCAACGGGUUUAAUUUUCGUACAUAAAGUGGACAUUUAAUUUAUGCAAAAAUCUUUAAUUUUUCCGUGUAUGUUUUUACGAUUUUUGGAGAGUAGGUUUGAUAAUUUUGAUACAAUAACCAGGCAGAACAUGAAGAUGGUCCGUUCUGUUUUUUGGACCUCAAUUCACAACUCCGUACUAAAGAGGCUUUGUGUCGCAAUAGUAAAACUGUCGGUUUCGCCGAGAACUUUACCACGUUUGCCGUUUUAUUCGCAAGUAACCUGGGCGCCGUGAGGGGAUUGGGGUCUUCAUGAGUGCGUGAUUGCCGAAAUUUAGAUAAAAUAGAACAGUUGUGUUCGGAGAAGCGAUCCAAGUCUUUUGUGUCAGGUGUUAUCAGUUACCCAGUGAGUUGAAGUCGAGUCAUAAUAAGCAAGGAUUUCAACGUCACCGAGGAAUGCUGCUGGAAAUCAUCACUCAUCGGAUAAGGUGACUCUCCAACGAGAUGGCCUGCGUUUCAGAACUUGGCAGACGGAAAUGCGGGUAGUGAUUCGGAGAAAGCUGUGCCAGGAGUUUCAGAUAAGUCAACAGACUAUCCAUCGCACCAUCUUCAGAAUCACUUUCAAUGAGCAAUUUGAGUAAUUUCAAAGAAAACCAUAUAUAUGGAAAAGAAAAAGGCUGUAAAUCAAUUAAAAAAAAAAAAAGCUUUUAAACAAACGCGAACCAGAAAAGAAACGACGAAAAGAAAAAUAAUUGCACGGAUUGGUAUAUCUUGCGAGAAGUUUAUUGUAAAGCUUUAAGACAUCUCUGUAUAAUUCAUAAAUAUGAACCGGCAGUGAGCAUAAUCUUGUCUCUCCUCAACAACUUAACCUAGUGAGCAUAUACACAUUCGUAUACAUACUUGGCAUACAUUUUUACUAUUUAAUUAUAAAUUCAAAAUAACAAUUAUGUUUUUGUUUUCCGAGUUGGUGCA